rnacentral:lncRNA from 1 species
CCCGCUUCAGUUGGCACCUGCCCUGUUUCUGCUUCAUGUCCUGCCCAAAAUGCCCUCCUCCUACCCUCCACGCGGCUGUGUAUACAAAGAGAACGCAUCCCCCCAUUGCUCACUUGCCCCCUCCUCCUCUUUCACACCUCACCUCCCACCAAGAUAAAGAGCAAGAACAGCAAGAGCAAGAAGAGGAGGAGGGAGACCACACAAUCUAUCACAAGCUUAGCAAGAUUUAUCAGCAAGGAAAUGGCAGCUCUGACGAGCUACGAGAUGGCGGCCUCCAUCUUGCUCUGCGCCGAGGACAGCAGCAGCGUCCUCGGCUUCGGCGGCGAGGAAGAGGAAGAGGAGGAGGACGUCGUGGCUGGGAAGAGGGCCAGGUGCGCUGGUCCGCCGCCGCCGCCGUGCGUGGACGUCGCUGGCGUGGAUUUCGCCGUGCCGUCGGAGGAAUGCGUCGCCCGCCUGGUGGAGACGGAGGCGGACCACAUGCCGAGGGAGGACUACGCCGAGAGGCUGCGCGCCGGCGGCGGCGACGGCGACCUGGAUCUUCGCGUCAGGAUGGAUGCCAUCGAUUGGAUUUGGAAGGUUCACUCCUACUACAGCUUCGCUCCUCUCACUGCCUGCUUGGCCGUCAACUACUUGGACCGCUUCCUCUCACUCUACCAGCUUCCGGUAAGAAACCUUAUAGCUGUAGUAGUACUAGUACUCGCUCCAUACUCGUAAAUACUCGUAAAGAAAGUCGUUUAGGGCAGCGGUACGGUCUCCAAAACACAACUUUAACUUCUUGUUUCUAUAAAAAUAUUUAUUAAAAAGUGAUAUAUAUAUACUUUUAUGAAAGUAAUUUUCAAAACAAAUCUAUUCAUAUAAUUUUUACAUUUUCAAACUCAAUAACUUUAGAGUUUUUCAUGGUUUAUAUUCCCAGAUUUGACUUAAACAUUGUCCUAAAUGACUUUCUUUAUGAGUACGGAGGGAUUAAUUAACUACUGCUUGGUUCUCGAAGAAAAUGGUAAAUCUGGGACGUUUCAGCUGUUCAGGAUCAGUAAUUCUGUGCACUUGUCUGCAGGAUGGCAAGGAUUGGAUGACGCAGCUGCUAGCAGUAGCGUGCUUGUCGCUUGCUGCCAAGAUGGAGGAAACCGAUGUGCCUCAAUCGCUGGACCUGCAGGUCGGGGAAGAACGGUACGUGUUCGAGGCGAAGACGAUCCAGAGGAUGGAGCUGCUGGUCCUGAGCACCCUCAAAUGGAGGAUGCAGGCCGUCACUCCCUUCUCCUACGUCGACUACUUCCUCCGCGAGCUCAACGGCGGCGAUCCGCCGUCGGGACGCUCGGCGCUGCUGUCUUCAGAGCUCAUCUUGUGCAUAGCUAGAGGAACAGAAUGCUUGGGAUUCAGGCCGUCGGAGAUCGCCGCCGCGGUCGCCGCCGCCGUGGUCGGAGAAGAACACGCCGCUUUCUCCCAUGUAAAUAAGGAGAGGAUGUCGCAUUGCCAGGAAGUGAUUCAGGCCAUGGAGUUGAUACAUCCAAAACCUGCAAGCCCCAGCAGAGUCUUCGUCUCCUCCUCCAUUCCACGGAGCCCUACUGGGGUGUUGGAUGCAGCAGGCUGCCUCAGCUACAGGAGUGACGAUUCAGCUGUUGCCUCACACUACGCAGCAAGCAGCUGGGGAUAUGAACAUGAUAGCUCCCCGGUUAGCAGCAAGAGGAGGAAGAUUAGCAGAUGAUGCAGCCAAUGAUGGAUCAAUUAAAAGUCUGUUUAUAUGUGUUGCGAAACUGAUCGUGCAUCUCUCUUUCUUGGGAAAGUCAAAUGGUUUUGAUUGCAAAUGACUGUGGAGCCUUUCGAUGCCGUAUGGGAGCUAGAGCCUGAAAGGCGAUGAAGGACCAAAAGCAAGGCAUUUUCGACAUGGCAACAGAGCAAAGAUACUGAUGGAUAAAGAGAGUCUGAGGUAGACAUGUGCUCCAAUAUUUUCAUGUGCUUUAGCGUUAGUUGCUAGGAGGCAGGCAGCCACAAAAGAGUAGAGGAUUUGUGCGAAGAGAGCCGGGCGAGAUGAAAAUGAGAUGACCAAAAUAAAGGCAGAGACGAGGUGACAGUGGCACAAGGCAAAGCGAGCUAGGCACUGACACUCCAGAUGUCCUGCGUGUGUUUCAGUUUUGCGUUGUUCUGUAAUUUCCCCUGCUUAAUUCCUUUGUGAAGAAAAAUCAUAAAAAAGAAGGAGAGAAACAAACAAUUUUGGUGUCAAACUCCAAUAAUUCAGCAUAACUAAACUACAAGAAGAAGCUGAAGCA